UACAUAGGGAGCAAGCGUUGUCCGGAAUCAUUGGGCGUAAAGCGCGCGUAGGUGGCUUCGUAAGUCCGCUGUGAAAGUCAAAGGCUCAACCUUUGAAAGCCGGUGGAUACUGUGAAGCUAGAGUACGGAAGAGGCGAGUGGAAUUCCUGGUGUAGCGGUGGAAUGCGCAGAUAUCAGGAGGAACACCAAUAGCGAAGGCAGCUCGCUGGGACGUUACUGACACUGAGGCGCGAAAGCGUGGGGAGCGAACAGG
rnacentral:rRNA from 1 species